rnacentral:lncRNA from 13 species
CUUGGCUACUGAAGGGUGCAAAGCACUGGGGCCUUUGAUGCAAUCUCUCUACCAACGUGACUGAAAUGUGAACUACAAGAUUUGAAUGCUUAAGGAAGGGACACAUUCACUUGGGAAUUAAGAGUAGAAUCAGGAUAAAUUCAAUCUGUCGUGGGUUCAUGAAAAAAAUUUUCAAAGUAAAUAUUAUUUGAGUAGGAUUUUGAAAAAAGGGUUCUAUGUGAGAAAAUUUUAGUAGAUUUAGUGGAGCAAAGACACAAGGGUCAGAAAGCAAUCAGCCAAGCCAGUGACAAAAGGGACAGCAAUUUGAUUCCACCCUUAGUUUGGGGUAGGGAAAAAUCUUGAGAACAAGAUUUCCAACACAGACUCAAGUGAGAGUCUAAAUUGCUUGGAAUGCUUAGCUAAAGGAGUCUGGAUUUUAUUUGUAGACAACAAGAGUCUUAAAAAUUUGCAGAGGUGUGCCUUUUCUCAGGAUAGCUGAUAUCUGAAGUGGAACUUGUGUUCAGCUGUGACAGUCUAGCACAGAACUGUUUGGAUUAUGGAGUAGAUGCCUUCAGUUUCCUGUCGACAACCUUCAGAUCUUAUCAUUUCUGUGUCCACUGGCCUACUUUCAGCUGCACGUAUCUGCAUCACUUCGCUGGAGAAUGUUCUCCAAAGCUGCUGAUGUCCUUACUGCUUCACUGCCCAUGUACAUGGUGGUCUGAAAAUGACAAGAAAAGAAUGCCCAUAAAGAAAGGCCUCAAUCAAUGAUUGAAGGAAUUGGCAUGUAAUAAAUGUCUUGCUCCUCAAUUGGGGUAACUCUUG